rnacentral:rRNA from 1 species
GCAUAUCAAUAAGCGGAGGAAAAGAAACCAACAGGGAUUGCCCUAGUAACGGCGAGUGAAGCGGCAACAGCUCAAAUUUGAAAUCUGGCCCUAGCGGUCCGAGUUGUAAUUUGUAGAGGAUGCUUUUGGUGAGGUGCCUUCCGAGUUCCCUGGAACGGGACGCCGGAGAGGGUGAGAGCCCCGUACGGUUGGACGCCAAACCUCUGUAUAGCUCCUUCGACGAGUCGAGUAGUUUGGGAAUGCUGCUCUAAAUGGGAGGUAAAUUUCUUCUAAAGCUAAAUACCGGCCAGAGACCGAUAGCGCACAAGUAGAGUGAUCGAAAGAUGAAAAGCACUUUGAAAAGAGGGUUAAAUAGCACGUGAAAUUGUUGAAAGGGAAGCGUUUGCGACCAGACUUUUUCCAGGCGGAUCAUCCGGCGUUCUCGCCGGUGCACUCCGCCUGGUUGAGGCCAGCAUCGGUUUCCUUAGGGGGAUAAAGGCCUGGGGAACGUAGCUCCUUCGGGAGUGUUAUAGCCCCUGGCGUAAUACCCCUCGGGGGACCGAGGAACGCGCUCUGCAAGGAUGCUGGCGUAAUGGUCGUCAACGACCCGUCUUGAAACACGGACCAAGGAGUCGAACAUUUGUGCGAGUGUUUGGGUGUCAAACCCUCACGCGUAAUGAAAGUGAACGGAGGUGAGAGCCCUUACGGGUGCAUCAUCGACCGAUCCUGAUGUCUUCGGAUGGAUUUGAGUAAGAGCAUAACUGUUCGGACCCGAAAGAUGGUGAACUAUGCGUGGAUAGGGUGAAGCCAGAGGAAACUCUGGUGGAGGCUCGCAGCGGUUCUGACGUGCAAAUCGAUCGUCAAAUCUGCGCAUGGGGGCGAAAGACUUAUCGAACCAUCUAGUAGCUGGUUACCGCCGAA